CUGAGCUGUAUUUACCAGCUGAUUUGGGUUUGGUUUCGGUCUUCGGAAUAUGAAAUUGUUCCUUGAUUUCCAAAUAAGCCAAAGGACAGUCACAAGUAGCUCAAAAGUGAAGGAUUGGACCAGACUUGUUUCGUCCAUGGACAGAGGAGAAAAAGAUGCUCAAUAGUUUCGGGAUGUUGGUGACAUAGCUCACACAUCGGUUCUGGUACAAUACUUCUUCUAAAUAGAUUUACCUUUGUUGGUAAUGCAUUUUGACAUAUCGCCCAUAGGAAAAAUCUGAUCUUCGGUUCUGUGUUUGCCUUCCAAAUUUUUGUCCACAAUGCUUCGGGGGUUUGAUAUGAAGAAGAAGCCUGAUUUGGGUUUGGUUUCAUUGCAAGGUCUCUGUUUCUAUUAUAGCCACUCUUGACUGUAUAGGAUCCUUAUUUGGUAUUUAACCAAACCAAUUUGUCAUCAGUGUCAUGUGACCUCAGUGGGAUUGCAAGAAUUUCAUCGACAAGCUGUUCAUCAAAAAGCUGAUGUAGCUUUGAUUCAUUCCACUUCGACUCCUCCUGCAAAAUUAACUCAGCUACCCUCUUAGGCUCCUCACGAUUAGGUGGACCCCCAAUAACUCCCCUAUGAAGCCAUUUGUCUUCUCUAAUGUUAAUUUGUUCCCCAUUGCCCACAGACCACAUAAUGGAAGGAUGGAUAGAUGCUCUCCCCAUCAGAACACUAAGCCACCCCCAUGAGGGACGAGUCCCUUUCCCUGCAUGCCAGAAAUCACAAUUAGGGAAAUACAGCCCUUUCAAUACUUGAGUCCAUAAUGAGGAAGGGUUUUGGGUAAUUCGCCAUGCUUGUUUUCCCAACAUAGA